rnacentral:lncRNA from 1 species
CUGUGUAUUGCCAGUCACCAAGAAUAAGACCUGCCUACGAUUGUUAAGUGUUUUGUUUAUUAUGUUUAUUUUACAGAUGGUUGCUAGAACUUUACUUUAGUGUUGUCUUAUGUGGUUCUCCAGACCUAAAAUGAAAUGUCUGUAAAGAGGACGCCAUAAGAGCUAUACACAAGCCUGUGACCACAUCACCAGACCAGGUCGUAUGUUGUGUGUUGGGAGCCUGCAGCUUGGGGCAUCGUGACUCUCAAACACGUGUAGUCGUCUUCGUCUCCCGAAGAAGUACAACUACUAUCAUCUGCAGUAUCGUGGUCUGGCGACAUUAAAGAUGUGUUUUCUCUAGUCUUAGCUUCACUGACAACACCAAGAUGGCAGCACACGCCGGCAUCCGAAUCUUCUUUCUUAGGAAGGACAUCAGGAGAGAAGACCACAGCAAGGCUGAGGAUCACUCCAAGAAAGAAUGCCACAACAGCGCAGACAAUGCCAAUUAUUACACAAGUCCGACUGGUGGCCGCUGUUCCCACUGGCCAAAAAGAUGGAAGGGAGUGUUUACCCAGCGUGCCAGCUGCUGCAGUCAGUACAGUGGUAUUCGGUGUACUCGGUGUACUCGGUGUACUCGUUGAACUCGAUGUACUCGGAGUACCCGGGGUGCUUCUUGAGACAAAGGAGCCCUUCCUACAGUCACA